CAAUUACCAUCCAGUAGGCAGUAACCACUCCGCAGUCCGCAGUCGUCAGUCGUCACCCAACUGUGAAGUGUGCCGGAAGCCGGACAUUGAUAAUGUUAUUGUGAACUCUCAACAUCAGCACGUGAACUUUGUUAUUGUUUAAUAAUAAUAUGUCACACAAGGUACUGAUACUAUUAGUCCUGACCUACGCUGUCCUGCUGGCCAACGAGACUCUGUGUAGAAUGUUGCCAGCACACAGAGAACGGACCCACCAGCCGCUACCAGACCAGACAAACACAACACGGAGCCAUUCUGCAGACUACAUCAAGUACAGCUACUUGAUAACUACGUACUUAUAGCAGUUGAGAUGGGCUGCGGAUCUGAGACGUUGCAGGAUUGUUGUGCGUAUGACGGAGACGAGGAAUGCCAAAAGUAGUUAAGAAAUAAGAAAAGUUUUAAACAACUUCAGAGUGAAACUAGAAACUAUAUUUGACAGUCCACCAGUCCAUGAUGUGAUGUGAUCGAGCAGAUGAUCACGGAUCCUGGUCAGAUAGCAGGCCUUCUGUUACCUGCUGGGUGUUACCAUGACAGAUACGUUACAGACAAGACAUGAACUUGAUAACACUCUUGAAUAGGAGCGACUUACUUUAUAAUUGGUUGAAGUUUUUAAUUUACAUUUACUUAUAAUGAUAGGCAGAAAUAUAAUAAAAAUUUAAUUAAAUUAGUAAAUAAAUAAUUAGUUACGCUA